GAUGAACGCUGGCGGCGUGCCUAAUACAUGCAAGUCGAGCGAACGGACGAGAAGCUUGCUUCUCUGAUGUUAGCGGCGGACGGGUGAGUAACACGUGGAUAACCUACCUAUAUGACUGGGAUAACUUCGGGAAACCGGAGCUAAUACCGGAUAAUAUUUUGAACCGCAUGGUUCAAAAGUGAAAGACGGUCUUGCUGUCACUUAUAGAUGGAUCCGCGCUGCAUUAGCUAGUUGGUAAGGUAACGGCUUACCAAGGCAACGAUGCAUAGCCGACCUGAGAGGGUGAUCGGACACACUGGAACUGAGACACGGUCCAGACUCCUACGGGAGGCAGCAGUAGGGAAUCUUCCGCAAUGGGCGAAAGCCUGACGGAGCAACGCCGCGUGAGUGAUGAAGGUCUUCGGAUCGUAAAACUCUGUUAUUAGGGAAGAACAUAUGUGUAAGUAACUGUGCACAUCUUGACGGUACCUAAUCAGAAAGCCACGGCUAACUACGUG
rnacentral:rRNA from 1 species